GCAGUGGCUCUCCAGGGUUUCAGGUAGAGCAUGAGACUCUUAAUCUCAGGCCUAUGGGUUCAAGCCCCACAUUGGGCA